UAGCUGUAAUUCAUUCAGUUCAUUUCAUUCACGCCAGCUUCGAUGAAUCGAUCUGUAUGCGCUGCGGCCGCCGCGAUUGAAAUGAGAAUAGGAUUUUAGCACAAAUCGGCUAUUUUUUUACUUCACACCAAAUUAAUUCCACGCGUAGAUACCUACUUCUAUUUUCAUUUUAGUCAUAUUUAGUAAAUAUAAUUUACGAGAAGUUUUAAAAGAUUUUUAAUUUAAUUUAGUCAACUUAGGCGAAUGUUUUGCAUAAUCGCAUUCUUGUUUAACCACCAAUGAUACAUUAAAGUUUAAUAUAUUUUAUUCAUACAUUUGUUUUAGCAUAAUGAAAUAUUAUUGCAUGUGUUACAUUCCAAGUACAUUUUAACAUUCCAACUCGUGAACAGGGUGAUAGUGUCAAUCACAAAGUAUUCUCAAAUAUAUGUAGAUAAUUUUAUUUGUGUUUUGUUUAUGGAAUUCGUAUUAUGUUAUAUAUAGUAUCGUUAUUUCCAUCGACAAAAUUUAGAAUCCCACAGUUUACGAAUCUCGAGGUAAAACGAUUGUAUGAUAUUUUGUACCUUCUCUGUCUUCCUCCUGUUAUAAAGGUGCUAUUUAUGAAGUAGUUAUUUAAAUAUCUGAUAUGAAAUCAACUCAAAAAUAAAGUAAAGUAAGCAAUAACUCCUUUUUAUAUAUUUUAGGCCGCUUUAGGGUCGGAGUCAUGUAUACUUAUAUUUAUAAUCAAUUCUUUUGUUGUUAUUAUGUAAUAUAAUUUAAAUAUAUAUUCGAAAUAUGAGAAUGUAAUGUAGAUACCAAUAAAGUAAUAUUUUGAAUAUU